rnacentral:sRNA from 1 species
UAAUAGUUGCGUUAGGGAUUGAAACGACAUCCUUUUUUUGUUUUUCUCAAAAAAAGAUAUAGUGGAAAGCCCGUUAAAAC